UACAUUAUGUGGUUUCGGGUCUA
rnacentral:siRNA from 1 species